GUUAUUCUUUCCCACUGUUGAUGGAACAUUUUGUUGCAACUGGCCGUUUCCAGUCAACCCUGACCCCGAUCGUUCGCCAGCGGAACGGAUUCCCCUAGCAUUCAUCAAAAUUCAAGGAAAUUUGCUACACCGCUUAGCAUCCGAUGGAACAACUAAUGAAAAAUUUAAGAAGAACCAAUUGGACAGAUGGAUCAUUAAUUUUGGCUGCCUGUUCUUGUGAGGAAUCAGCCAGCACCGAACUCGAUCGUUUGCCAGUGCGACUCAUUCUAGCAGAAUUCGAGAAAAAUGGAAUCUUCUAUUCUUCCGCUGUACAGCAGACGGAAUUUCCGAGGAAAGAAUCUUGCAAGCCAAACAACCUGAUUGUCCUGCCCAGUUAUGAAGCUACCACGCUAGUUCCUCGAGAAACCUUGAUAACAUCAUUUUAAGAUUAUUUAGUCCUGAUAUGCAAGUGAAAAAUAUCGAUUCGGAAUUCGGAUACUAGCUAUGCGACAAAGGACUGGGAAAAAUACGCCAAGGAGCUAAUUCGGAUGUACAAACAAUGGAAUUUUCAAUGCCGGUCGCAUAGGUGAAUUAAUAACAAGUGAUUCAACUACACGUUGAACUGGCCCUUAGAAUGUUAAACAUGUUGGUUUCAUAAUUUGAGUCAGGUUGGUAGUCUGAAAUUACUUAGAAGUACCGUAAACUGGGGGAACUUUGAUCAGCGGGGUAACUUUGAUCAACAUGAAAUUUUUGCAGAUAAUCAUCAUUAACUAAGUAUAAAGUUAAAAUAUCUGAAAACUGUUUACUACGUUUGAAAGCCUGUAAAUUGAGUUACAAAUAAGCUAAGUUUCGUUUUUAUUAGGAGAUUUUUUAUAUAACUUAAAAUAUAAUUUUAAAAUCUUAAAAUAUCUGGUUUUUUAAAGGCUCACAAACAAACAUCUCUCCUGAUCAAAUUUAAGCAUUUAGAAGCAAAUGGGUUGUUUAAUGUGAAAGUUCAACUGUUUUUCUUGGUUCAGGUUAAGUUAAAGUGUUAUUUUUAUAGUCAUUUGAUGAUAAUUUUUGGAUAUUGAAAAAAACGGUCAUUUUCCAUUAAAAAGCCUGUAUAGGAAAAAUGGCUUAAAACCCUAUAAAAAGGUAAAGUUUGAAGAAAAAAACAACGUGGGGACAGUACGAGGACUUCGGAAAUUGCAUGAAGGUAAAAUUUUAUUUGUUUUCGAGGCUAAAAAAUAUUGAGAAAUGUUUAUAAUUUUUGCCCCUGAAUGUAUGCAGCAACAUUGUCCAUUAUUCGAGCAAAUUUGUUUUUGAAAGAAAACGUGGAAAAAUUCAAUUAAGUCCAAACAAAAAAUUUCUGUUAUCGAUGUUUUGAGCCUUCUAUGCUUAAUGGAAUCAAAACAAUAAAUUUGAAGACGUUGAGAUACGUAAAAACCAUAGUGAUCAAAGUUACCCCGAAACUCGAAAUCUGGUUUUGUAACAAACAUUUAAUUAUGACUACAAAUGUCGUUUGAAUUUACUGCAAUCCAUGGUCAUUUUAAAACUCCUCACCUCAGUAAGGGUUUUAAAGCUUUUAGGUAUUACGAAAAAGCAACCCCUUCCAAAAUAUUCUAAAAUGAUUGAAAAAAGUGAUUAAAGUUCCCCCAGUUUACGGUAACUACCAAAUUUUAUACGUGAAACCACUAGAUGUAAAUUCAAACGAAUUAUUAAAACAAUGUCGAACAGAUAUUUUUGUACAGCCUGAUUUUGUGCGAGCGUAGGAUGAUGCAGUGGCGGAUUGAAUUUGAAUUGAAACAUUUCUUACGGGAUUGAAAUCAUAUUUAUUGAAUGAAUUCUAACGCAUACUUAUUGAUAUAAUUAAGGCUAGAUGAUAAGCAACGCAAUCGAUACCUAA